rnacentral:rRNA from 1 species
GUGGGGAAUCUUAGACAAUGGGGGCAACCCUGAUCUAGCCAUGCCGCGUGAGUGAUGAAGGCCUUAGGGUCGUAAAGCUCUUUCGCUGGGGAAGAUAAUGACGGUACCCAGUAAAGAAACCCCGGCUAACUCCGUGCCAGCAGCCGCGGUAAUACGGAGGGGGUUAGCGUUGUUCGGAAUUACUGGGCGUAAAGCGCGCGUAGGCGGAUUGGAAAGUUGGGGGUGAAAUCCCGGGGCUCAACCCUGGAAUGGCCUUCAAAACUCCCAGUCUUGAGGUCGAGAGAGGUGAGUGGAAUUCCGAGUGUAGAGGUGAAAUUCGUAGAGAUCGGGAGGAACAUCCGUGGCGAAGGCGGCCAUCUGGACCAGCACUGACACUGAGGCACGAAAGCGUGGGGAGCAAACAGGAUUAGAUACCCGAGUAGUCC